GUCAGUGCGGGUAAGUGGCAUGGAAAUGCUCGCCGUGGAGGGUGAAAGCCCCGUCCAACCUGCACAGGACACGCCGUACUAGGUCGUUUCAGGCGAGUCGGGUAGCUUGGGAAUGCUGCUCUAACUGGUGGUAAAUCUCAUCAAAGGCUAAAUACGGGUGGGAGACCGAUAGUGAACAAGUACCGUGAGGGAAAGAUGACAAGCACUUUGAAAAGAGGGUGAAAAGAACCUGAAACCGUUACGGGGGAAGCGGAUUGUGUUGGAUUGAGGGAUGCUAGUGUGUUCAGCCUGUUUUCAGGUGUAUUGACAUUGGCAUUUAUCCGCCGUGGGUUUUCGAUGACUGAUUUUGAGUCAUUGGAGGCUGAGGGCUCCAUUUUAAUAUAUGUGAGGACGGCGGAGCGACGACACGAUACGACCCGUCUUGAAACACGGACCAAGGAGUCUAGCGCGGGUGCGAGUCGGAGGGUGCAAGCCCGUGGGCGAAGUGAAAGCGAGUUUUAAAAACGAGCAGUUUGGGGCGGCAGGGAAUCGUUGAUUCCAGGACCGACCCGGAGCAGUUGCGCUGGGACCCGAAAGAUGGUGAACUAUGCCGGAGUAGGGCAAAGCCAGAGGAAACUCUGGUGGAGGCUCGUAGCGGUGCUGACGUGCAAAUCGCUCGUCGAACUUGGGUAUAGGGGCGAAAGACUAAUCGAACCAUCUAGUAGCU
rnacentral:rRNA from 1 species